CCUACGGGCGGCAGCAGUGGGGGAUAUUGCACAAUGGGGGAAACCCUGAUGCAGCGACGCCGCGUGGGCGAAGAAGUAUUUCGGUAUGUAAAGCCCUAUCAGCAGGGAAGAAGAAAUGACGGUACCUGAGUAAGAAGCACCGGCUAAAUACGUGCCAGCAGCCGCGGUAAUACGUAUGGUGCAAGCGUUAUCCGGAUUUACUGGGUGUAAAGGGAGCGCAGGCGGCACGGCAAGCCUGAUGUGAAAGCCCGAGGCCCAACCGCGGGACUGCAUUGGGAACUACCGGGCUGGAGUGCCGGAGAGGUAGGCGGAAUUCCUAGUGUAGCGGUGAAAGGCGUAGAUAUUAGGAGGAACACCAGUGGCGAAGGCGGCCUACUGGACGGUGACUGACGCUGAGGCUCGAAAGCGUGGGGAGCAAACAGGAUUAGAUACCCGGGUAGUC
rnacentral:rRNA from 1 species